UACGGAAGAUCCGAGCGUUAUCCGGAUUUAUUGGGUUUAAAGGGAGCGUAGGCGGGAAUCCAAGUCAGUUGUGAAACCCUGCGGCUCAACCGUAGUCGUGCAGUUGAAACUGGAUUUCUUGAGUGCGCACAGGGCAGACGGAAUUUGUGGUGUAGCGGUGAAAUGCUUAGAUAUCACGAAGAACUCCGAUCGCGAAGGCAGUCUGCCGGGGCGCUACUGACGCUGAGGCUCGAAAGUGCGGGUAUCAAACAGG
rnacentral:rRNA from 1 species